rnacentral:rRNA from 1 species
ACACCGGCAGCCCGAGUGGUGGCCACUAUUAUUGGGCCUAAAGCGUCCGUAGCCGGUCCGGUAAGUCCCUGUGUAAAUCCUCAGGCUCAACCUGAGGAAUUGCGGGGAUACUGCCGGACUCGGGGCCGGGAGACGCGGAGGGUACUCCAGGGGUAGCGGUGAAAUGCUGUAAUCCCUGGGGGACCACCAGUGGCGAAGGCGCUCCGCGAGAACGGGCCCGACGGUGAGGGACGAAAGCCAGGGGAGCGAACGGGAUUAGAAACCCUAGUAGUCC